rnacentral:rRNA from 1 species
UACGUAGGGCGCAAGCGUUGUCCGGAUUUAUUGGGCGUAAAGAGCGUGUAGGCGGCCAGGUAGGUCUGCUGUGAAAUCCCGGGGCUUAACCCCGGGCGUGCAGUGGAUACGGGCUGGCUGGAGGCAGGCAGGGGAGAAUGGAAUUCCCGGUGUAGCGGUGAAAUGCGCAGAUAUCGGGAGGAACACCGGUGGCGAAGGCGGUUCUCUGGGCCUGUGCUGACGCUGAGGAGCGAAAGCGUGGGGAGCGAACAGG